rnacentral:piRNA from 1 species
UGGAAAUGAUCAAACCUGAAGAAGUA